rnacentral:rRNA from 1 species
CUAGGAAUCUUGCACAAUGGGCGAAAGCCUGAUGCAGCGACGCCGCGUGGGCGAUGAAGUCCUUCGGGAUGUAAAGCCCUUUUCGGGGGGAAGACAUCGACGGUACCCCCGGAAUAAGCACCGGCGAACUACGUG